CCUACGGGGGGCUGCAGUGGGGAAUAUUGGACAAUGGGGGCAACCCUGAUCCAGCCAUGCCGCGUGUGUGAAGAAGGCCCUCGGGUUGUAAAGCACUUUCAGUGAGGAAGAACGCCUGGUGGUUAAUACCCAUCAGGAAAGACAUCACUCACAGAAGAAGCACCGGCUAACUCCGUGCCAGCAGCCGCGGUAAUACGGAGGGUGCGAGCGUUAAUCGGAAUUACUGGGAGUAAAGCGCGCGUAGGUGGCUUGAUAAGCCGGUUGUGAAAGCCCCGGGCUCAACCUGGGAACGGCAUCCGGAACUGUCAAGCUAGAGUGCAGGAGAGGAAGGUAGAAUUCCCGGUGUAGCGGUGAAAUGCGUAGAGAUCGGGAGGAAUACCAGUGGCGAAGGCGGCCUUCUGGACUGACACUGACACUGAGGUGCGAAAGCGUGGGUAGCAAACAGGAUUAGAUACCCCAGUAGUC
rnacentral:rRNA from 1 species